rnacentral:rRNA from 1 species
AGCGAACGCUGGCGGCAGGCCUAACACAUGCAAGUCGAACGAACCUUUCGGGGUUAUUGGCGGACGGGUGAGUAACACGUGGGAACGUUCCCUUAGGUUCGGAAUAACUCAGGGAAACUUGUGCUAAUACCGAAUGUGCCCUUCGGGGGAAAGAUUUAUCGCCGUUAGAGCGGCCCGCGUCGGAUUAGCUAGUUGUUUGAGGUAAUGGCUCACCAGGGCGACGUUCAGUAGCUGGUCUGAGAGGAUGGUCAGCCACAUUGGGACUGAGACGCAGCCGAAAAUCCUACGGGAGGCAGCAGUGGGGGAUCUUGCGCAAUGGGCGAAAGCCUGACGCAGCCAUGCCGCGUGAAUGAUGAAGGUCUUAGGAUUGUAAAAUUCUUUCAACGGGGACGAUAAUGACGGUACCCGGAGAAGAAGCCCCGGCUAACUUCGUG